rnacentral:tRNA from 1 species
GCUGCUGCGGGGCGGCGGCGGGCUCGGGGGCCUCCGGGGCCUCCGGGGCGGCUUCGGCGGCCGCCUCGGCG